rnacentral:lncRNA from 1 species
CUAAAAAUUAAAGAAUGCUCUCAAUGUUUGAGUUCCUUCAUACGGUGCUCAUCAGUUUCAACUCUAUUUUUCUUUGGCCACAUUAAAACUCUUGUCGCUCAUGAAUCACACUUUAAAAAGAUGCUAUGUGGUACGGAUUAUUCGAAAUGCAUAUUGGACCUAACUCAUCCUUACAAAACCGGCUUGUAAGGUGAGGCUUGCCUCUAGUAUAUAAACACUUAGCCAGACCAUCUCUCAACCGAUGUGGGACUCUUAACACACCCCCUCACGCCCAACACUAUUGAGCUUGGUGCGUGGAUAUAAACGGUGGGUGGCCGAUAGCGGAAACCUGAUAACAGGUGGCCUAACGGAUCGUCGAGAGGCUCUGAUACCAUCUUAUUUCUAACACGGAUUGGAUAUGAAUACUUUCAUAUGUAGUGUUUGUAUCUAUAUCCAGAUGUACACCACAAAAACAAAACAAAAGAGAAACACCACCAUUUUUCCACCACAACAACAACAUUUUUUUACCCUUUCUACAUCAAAUGAUUUUUCACCAACAACUCUAUUUCAUAAAUCUUCACAACAAGUUUAGGAUACAAUUAAUCUUUCUUCUUCUCACUACCUUUGAACAACAACAAGAACGAACGACAACAAAAAUCGAACAAGAAGGCAGAAAUAGAAAUCGCCUAAACCGCAACAAUUUGGCAGAAAUCAAAUUAAUUUUUAUUCUUCUCUGUAGCGAUUUCAAUUUGGGAAUUAGGGUUCUUAUAAAUUGGAAUUGCAUAAAACCUGAAAUAUAAUCGAAGAAUUGAACACAGACAGAAUCGAACACUGAAUCAAAGGAUUGAAUAUUGGAAUCCGGGUAAAGAAACCAUCAUUUGCUGCAUAGAAUCCUCGUGAAAAUGAACACACGAAAUUGAAGAUGAAAUUAGGGAUUUUUCAAGUGGAAAAGAAGAACAAAUGGAGGUGAAGACGAAUAUGAAAUUAGGGAUAGUUUGAUAAUGAACACGUCAAAAACAUUUAUUUUCAGUUUUUUUAUAAAAAAUAUAUAAUUACUG